rnacentral:rRNA from 1 species
CAGGGCGAAUGUCUUGUAAUUGGAAUGAUGGUGACCCAAACCCUCACCAGAGUAGCAAUUGGAGGGCAAGUCUGGUGCCAGCAGCCGCGGUAAUUCCAGCUCCAAUAGCGUAUAUUAAACUUGUUGCAGUUAAAAAGCUCGUAGUUGUAUUUUUGCGUUGACGGUUUGACCAUUUGGUUGGUUAUUUCGUUUUCGCUUUUGGGAAUUUCCCUUUUUACUUUGAGAAAAUUAGAGUGUUUCAAGCAGACUUUUGUCUUGAAUACUUCAGCAUGGAAUAAUAGAGUAGGACUUUGGUUCUAUUUUGUUGGUUAUUGAACCUUAGUAAUGGUUAAUAGGAACGGUUGGGGGCAUUCGUAUUUAACUGUCAGAGGUGAAAUUCUUAGAUUUGUUAAAGACGAACUACUGCGAAAGCAUUUGCCAAGGACGUUUCCAUUAAUCAAGAACGAAAGUUAGGGGAUCGAAGAA